CCAGCAGCUCUUCGGGGCAGUUGGGAAAGGUAGCUUAGGCCUCCGGCCGAGGAGGAGCCUGCGGCGGAUUAGCUUGUUGGUGGGGUAAUGGCCUACCAAGGCAACGAUCCGUAGCUGGUCUGAGAGGACGAUCAGCCACACUGGGACUGAGACACGGCCCAGACUCCUACGGGAGGCAGCAGUGGGGAAUCUUGCGCAAUGGGCGGAAGCCUGACGCAGCGACGCCGCGUGCGGGAAGAAGGCCUUCGGGUUGUAAACCGCUUUCAGGAGGGACGAAGCUACUCGGGUUAAUAGCCCAGAGGGUGACGGUACCUCCAGAAGAAGCCCCGGCUAACUACGUGCCAGCAGCCGCGGUAAUACGUAGGGGGCAAGCGUUGUCCGGAUUUAUUGGGCGUAAAGAGCGUGUAGGCGGCCAGGUAGGUCUGCUGUUAAAACUCGAGGCUCAACCUCGAGAGGUCGGUGGAAACCAUCUGGCUAGAGUCCGGAAGAGGAGAGUGGAAUUCCCGGUGUAGCGGUGAAAUGCGCAGAUAUCGGGAAGAACACCUAUGGCGAAGGCAGCUCUCUGGGACAGUACUGACGCUGAGACGCGAAAGCGUGGGGAGCGAACAGGAUUAGAUACCCUGGUAGUCCACGCCGUAAACGAUGGGUGCUAGGUGUGGGCGGUGUCGACUCCGUCCGUGCCGAAGCUAACGCAUUAAGCACCCCGCCUGGGGAGUACGGCCGCAAGGCUAAAACUCAAAGGAAUUGACGGAAUCGAAUU
rnacentral:rRNA from 1 species